ACCUUUGCACAGUGGCAGUAUCGUAGCCAAUGAGGUUUAUCCGAGGCGCGAUUAUUGCUAAUUGAAAAUCAUCACAAAACCGAUAGAGUCACAAGUGCUAUUUAGCACUCUACAAAUAAUUAAUGAAGAGUUAAAUAUUCAAC
ensembl:snRNA U4 U4 spliceosomal RNA